GUGCCAGCAGCCGCGGUAAAACGUAGGAGGCGAGCGUUAUCCGGAUUUACUGGGCGUAAAGCGCACGCAGGCGGCUCCGUGAGUCGGACGUGAAAGCUCUCGGCUUAACCGGGAGAGGCCGUUCGAUACUGCGGGGCUUGAGGUAGGGAGAGGAAUGCGGAAUUCCCGGUGUAGUGGUGGAAUGCGUAGAUAUCGGGAGGAACACCUGUGGCGAAAGCGGCAUUCUGGCCCUCACCUGACGCUGAGGUGCGAAAGCGUGGGUAGCAAACAGGAUUAGAUACCCCAGUAGUCC
rnacentral:rRNA from 1 species